CUGGGAGAAAGUGCGUCUGGCGGCGGCGCAUCCUCUCCAUGGCCCUGUCGCUCCCUCUCGCACUUGCUGCCUGG
rnacentral:precursor_RNA from 1 species